GUUGGGGUUUUACCAUCUGCACGCCAUGGAAAAUAAGCAGAUGACGAGAUGGAGAGCUGCUUGCAUAAUGGCAGAGAAAGGAAAUACAGAACGAUAUGCGAUAACCGCAGAUGCAUGACUCGUCACGGCCUUGCAGGCGAGCCUGAUCUUUCCCAGGAUUUCCUCCUUUGCUGGCGGUUCUCUUUUUGUGAAAUAGCGCCGUUCCGCCUUCGGCAGCCUGCCUGCACUCUCAUGCAGCUCUGCGUUCAUGUGCUCAUCAAUGUUUCAUGCAUCAUUUUUACUUUGAUGGCGAAUGCCUGUUGUGUGUUGGUUUGCCGGGGCUGAUCCUGGAGCCCCGUUACUGUGAGUAUAACAUACUCCCCAUCGCUGACAUCAGAUUCAUGUUUCGCAACAUGUUGGGUAAGAUGUAUGUUUUUUUUUUUUUGUUUGUAAGUCUUGUCUGACAUAAAGUAAAUGUAAAAUACAACAUUUUCAGAUGGUGCGCGAUGUUAAUUUUGAGCACCUUUAGCUAGAGUAUAGAUUGAGAUCUAUUGAGAUGAGAAUUUCUAGGUGACUAUUAUGUGAACAGCCCACAUGGACAUUGUAGUCUAUUAGCCUACUUUAUACUGAUGGUCUAUUAAAUCAAUAUAAUUAAAGUUUGUCUGUUGUAAAAGGAGGGGCGGCAUGGUGGUGCAGUGGUUAGCAGUGUUGCCUCACACCUCUGGGACCCAGGUUCGAGUCUCUGCCUAGGUCACAUGUGUGUGGAGUUUGCAUGUUCUCCCCAUGUCGUCGUGGGGUUUCCUCCGGGUACUCCGGUUUCCCCCCACAGUCCAAAAACAUGCUGAGGCUAAUUGGAGUUACUAAAUUGCCCGUAGGUGUGCAUGUGUGAGUGAAUGGUGUGUGAGUGUGCCCUGCGAUGGGCUGGCCCCCCGUCCUGGGUUGUUCCCUGCCUCGUGCCCAUUGCUUCCGGGAUAGGCUCCGGACCCCCUGCAACCCAGUAGGAUAAGCGGUUUGGAAAAUGGAUGGAU